UACGAUACUAGUGAUGAGUUGCACAUUCUGUGUAGUCGGCAUGUGUGAUGUUAGACUGUCACAGCUGUAAACCUUGUUGAAGGUUCUCUGUAGACCAACCCAGGUGCACAGGGGCCAUCUGAAGUAUCA